UACGUAGGGUCCGAGCGUUGUCCGGAAUUAUUGGGCGUAAAGGGCUCGUAGGCGGUUCGUCACGUCGGGAGUGAAAACUCGGGGCUUAACCCCGAGCCUGCUUCCGAUACGGGCAGACUAGAGGUAGGCAGGGGAGAGCGGAACUCCUGGUGUAGCGGUGGAAUGCGCAGAUAUCAGGAAGAACACCCGUGGCUAAGGCGGCUCUCUAGUACGGUACUGACGCUGAGACGCGAAAGCGUGGGGAGCGAACAGG
rnacentral:rRNA from 1 species